AAGCGGAGCUCCGCCCCCUGACGUCACGGGCGCCUGGCAGGGAGGGGUGGGGCUCUCGCGAGACCGUGCGGCCGUUAAGGCCGUUGGGGAGCUGGCUGUAAUGGCUGGCGGUAGGUGUGGUCAUGCUGAGGCGCUUAUGGUGGCGGUGUAGUGGUGCUAGAAGUGGAAUGAAGUUCUCUGCAGCGUGCCUUCCCAGUGUGUGAGUGCUGCCCCAGUGCCCAUGCUGUGGAUUGAUAGCAUCCUGUCGCCUCCUCUGCUACACCGCAGUGCUCCUCACGGCCUCCCUGGCCUGACUGGAAGCACUCCCUGACCGUUUACUCCCCCUGUCAUAUACGGCAGCUAACGACAGCCUUUUGUUGAUACUUUGCAGCCUCUGUGUUUCUGUGGGAUGCCUGAAGGUGCAGGAAUCUAAUAGAAUGCAGUGUGACAAGUGAAGGAAUGGGAAGG
ensembl:lncRNA